CUGGCGGCGUGCCUAACACAUGCAAGUCGAGCGGAGUUAACAAGAGGAAGUUUCGGAUGGAAUUUGUAAUUAGCGGCGGACGGGUGAGUAACGCGUGAGCGACCAACCUUGCACAGGGGGAUAACGGACCGAAAGGUUCACUAAUACCGCAUGAGACCACGGUGUUGCAUGACACAGAGGUCAAAGGAGCAAUCCGGUGCAAGACGGGCUCGCGUCCGAUUAGGUAGUUGGUGGGGUAAUGGCCCACCAAGCCUAUGAUCGGUAGCCGACCUGAGAGGGUGAUCGGCCACAUUGGAACUGAGAUACGGUCCAAACUCCUACGGGAGGCAGCAGUGGGGAAUAUUGGGGCCAAUGGGGGAAACCCUGACCCAGCAACGCCGCGUGAAGGAAGAAGGUUUUCGGAUUGUAAACUUCUGUCCUUGGUGAAGAGAAGAAGACGGUAGCCAAGGAGGAAGCCCCGGCUAACUACGUGCCAGCCGCCGC
rnacentral:rRNA from 1 species